rnacentral:rRNA from 1 species
AGCGAACGCUGGCGGCAGGCUUAACACAUGCAAGUCGAACGGGCGUGGCAAUACGUCAGUGGCAGACGGGUGAGUAACGCGUGGGAACGUACCUUUUGGUUCGGAACAACCCAGGGAAACUUGGGCUAAUACCGGAUAAGCCCUUACGGGGAAAGAUUUAUCGCCGAAAGAUCGGCCCGCGUCUGAUUAGCUAGUUGGUGAGGUAACGGCUCACCAAGGCGACGAUCAGUAGCUGGUCUGAGAGGAUGAUCAGCCACAUUGGGACUGAGACACGGCCCAAACUCCUACGGGAGGCAGCAGUGGGGAAUAUUGGACAAUGGGCGCAAGCCUGAUCCAGCCAUGCCGCGUGAGUGAUGAAGGCCCUAGGGUUGUAAAGCUCUUUUGUGCGGGAAGAUAAUGACGGUACCGCAAGAAUAAGCCCCGGCUAACUUCGUGCCAGCCGCCGCCGUAAU